UACAGAGGUCUCAAGCGUUGUUCGGAUUCAUUGGGCGUAAAGGGUGCGUAGGCGGCGCGGUAAGUCGGGUGUGAAAUCUUGGAGUUUAACUCCGAAACUGCAUUCGAUACUGCCGUGCUUGAGGACUGGAGAGGAGACUGGAAUUUACGGUGUAGCGGUGAAAUGCGUAGAUAUCGUAAGGAAGACCAGUGGCGAAGGCGGGUCUCUGGACAGUUCCUGACGCUGAGGCACGAAGGCCAGGGGAGCAAACGGG
rnacentral:rRNA from 1 species